CAGUCGCCGCGGUAAUACGUAGGUGGCGAGCGUUGUCCGGAAUUAUUGGGCGUAAAGCGCGCGCAGGCGGAUCGGUCAGUCUGUCUUAAAAGUUCGGGGCUUAACCCCGUGAUGGGAUGGAAACUGCCAAUCUAGAGUAUCGGAGAGGAAAGUGGAAUUCCUAGUGUAGCGGUGAAAUGCGUAGAUAUUAGGAAGAACACCAGUGGCGAAGGCGACUUUCUGGACGAAAACUGACGCUGAGGCGCGAAAGCCAGGGGAGCGAACGGGAUUAGAACCCCUGUAGUCCCUGUCUCUUAUACAC
rnacentral:rRNA from 1 species